UACGGAGGAUGCGAGCGUUAUCCGGAUUUAUUGGGUUUAAAGGGUGCGUAGGCGGAUUUGUAAGUCAGCGGUAAAAAUGCGGGGCUCAACCCCGUACUGCCGUUGAAACUGGGGAUCUAGAGUGUGCGAGAGGUAUGCGGAAUGCGUGGUGUAGCGGUGAAAUGCAUAGAUAUCACGCAGAACCCCGAUUGCGAAGGCAGCGUACCGGCUCUACACUGACGCUGAGGCACGAAAGCGUGGGUAUCGAACAGG
rnacentral:rRNA from 1 species